UACGUAGGUGGCAAGCGUUGUCCGGAAUUAUUGGGCGUAAAGCGCGCGCAGGCGGUCCUUUAAGUCUGAUGUGAAAGCCCACGGCUCAACCGUGGAGGGUCAUUGGAAACUGGGGGACUUGAGUACAGAAGAGAAGAGUGGAAUUCCACGUGUAGCGGUGAAAUGCGUAGAGAUGUGGAGGAACACCAGUGGCGAAGGCGACUCUGUGGGCUGUAACUGACGCUGAGGCGCGAAAGCGUGGGGAGCAAACAGG
rnacentral:rRNA from 1 species